UUUCUUCGAGUUUCUAGAUUC
rnacentral:piRNA from 1 species